AUUGAACGCUGGCGGCAGGCCUAACACAUGCAAGUCGAGCGGCAGCGGGAAAGUAGCUUGCUACUUUUGCCGGCGAGCGGCGGACGGGUGAGUAAUGCCUGGGAAAUUGCCCAGUCGAGGGGGAUAACAGUUGGAAACGACUGCUAAUACCGCAUACGCCCUACGGGGGAAAGCAGGGGACCUCCGGGCCUUGCGCGAUUGGAUAUGCCCAGGUGGGAUUAGCUAGUUGGUGAGGUAAUGGCUCACCAAGGCGACGAUCCCUAGCUGGUCUGAGAGGAUGAUCAGCCACACUGGAACUGAGACACGGUCCAGACUCCUACGGGAGGCAGCAGUGGGGAAUAUUGCACAAUGGGGGAAACCCUGAUGCAGCCAUGCCGCGUGUGUGAAGAAGGCCUUCGGGUUGUAAAGCACUUUCAGCGAGGAGGAAAGGUUGAUGCCUAAUACGUAUCAACUGUGACGUUACUCGCAGAAGAAGCACCGACUAACUCCGUGCCAGCCGCCGCCGUAAGAC
rnacentral:rRNA from 1 species